CCUGCCGGCUAAAAUGCCUCAAUGCUGUGUGCCAACGUGUUUCAAUCGAUCGGAGACAAAACAACCACACAGCUGUCAUUCUACCGCUUUCCUUGCAACGAAAAUACAAGAGGAAAUGGCUGCAGUUAAUAAGGUUUCUGUCAUCAGGAUGUUAACAGAGGAGGACAAGCUGUGGCAGCAGUCUUACCUAUCCUACCAGAGUUUAAGCCACAGUCUCCCCUGAACCAGUUGGCAAGAACCACGGUGGAAACCAAAUCUGCAGAUUGGUCAUCAUGACCUGUAAUUCAUCAGAGGAGGGUCUUCCUACCAUCAUCAUACCUCUCCAGUGUCUGAGAUUCCUCAGAGCAGCGAACUGAAGUUUUGUCACCUGCUGACAGUGAGGCCUCCUGACUGUCCAAGACUAAUGGUCUGAGGUGAAGUUCCCCUAGCAGCUCUUUGGAUGUUGGGUAUAGAUGGUCAGGUGGUUUUGCCUUCACAUCCCAACUUGCAGCGUGACUUGCAGCUUUCUCCUCAAACUUCUACAUCUUCAGCCUGGGGUAUCAGGAGCAAGCUU